rnacentral:rRNA from 1 species
CCCUUAGAUGUUCUGGGCGGCCCGCGCACUACAUUGGCACUCUCAAUAAGUUCCUAGAUCUAAAACUUUGGGGUAUUCUAUUAAGUGGUGUCGUGACUGGGAUUAACCCUUGCAAUUAUUGGUUACGAACGAGGAAUUCCUUGUAAUCGCGGUUUAUCAGCCCGCGUUGAAUGCGUCCCUGCCCUUUGUACACACCGCCCGUCGCUCCUACCGAUUGAGUGAUCCGGUGAGGCUCUGGGACCUGGACGGAAAGAGCGUUUCGCUUGUUCUGUUUGGGAAACUUGGUCGAACCUUAUCAUUUAGAGGAAGGAGAAGUCGUAACA